CUCUAGUGAUCAGUUCUGAAGUUCUUUAGGGGAGUGUGUGUGUAGGGGUGAUCAUUACCUUUGUGGAUUUUCCUGCACUUGUUAACUUCCAUAGAAAAUCCGUUGGAUUACUCCCCCCAAUACUCAUUAAUUACUAAGCUUGCCUUCAGCAUCCCUUAUCCCCUCUUACUCCCAGGUCUGCUGAUGUUUGCUGUGACUCACAUGCUCUACGCCUCAGCCUUUGGCAUGCGGCCACUGGCUCUCCGGACAGGCCUGGUGAUGGGAGUGCUGUCAGGUCUGUGCUAUGCCCUCCUCUAUCCAGGGCUUUCAGGUGCCUUCACCUACCUGGUGGGGGUCUAUGUGGCCCUUAUCAGCUUCAUGGGCUGGCGAGCUAUGGCAGGACUGCAGCUGGCUGGGGCAGCCUGGCGCUGGACUGAGCUGGCAGCAGGCAGUGGUGCACUGCUCUUUAUCAUCUCAGACAUGAUCCUUGCACUGAACAAGUUCUGCUUUCCUGUGCCAUACUCUCGGGUAGUCAUCAUGUCCACCUACUAUGCUGCUCAGAUGCUCAUCGCCCUGUCAGCUGUGGAGAGCCGGGAGCCAGUGGAAGACUAUAGACUGAACAAGGCCAACUGAGGGACCAGGAUCUGCUCACCUCCCUCUCCUAGGGCUGGGGUCCAGACCCUGGGGAACCUACAGGAGCUGGAUCAGGAUGGCUGCAGUGCCAGCCUGGGCAGUCGGUAUCACUUGGGAAUUGACAAGUUUGAAGGGGUAAGCAGGAGAAGGUUCUCCCUAGCAAAGCUAGAGGUUCAGGAUAGUGCCGAGUACUCAGAGAAGCAGCUUCCUUUCUGGAGCCAGAACAUCACCCCACCUCUACCCCAUCAGGACUGUCAAAGACCUCCUGAAGGGUAAUGGUGCUCAGCUUCUUGACCCGCCCCUUCCCCUACUAGGUGAAAGAGUCUGACUUCAUCUCUUAUGCCUAGAACAAGUGGCAAUGCUGGAUGAAUCCACUCCUAACUUUUCUGUUCUGUAUAGUCUAGGGAAAGAGGGGAGAAAUCUGUGUUGAGAUGACCCAGGACCGGGGCUUGAAGCCCUUUUAACAGGCCCAUAGUUGGGAAGAUUGGAUGAAGAUGGAAUCUCCCUUCCCCUUGUCUAUCCUUGUUACUUGAACAAUCUCAAUCUUUAAGUGUGACUAUGGAGGUGAAGGGUAGGCAGGAGAGGAAUUUCCUUGGUGUGGGAGCUUGUGGAUACCAAGGAUUGAUCCCAUCUCACUCACAGGCCAGCCCAGAGCUCAGGCCCCAUACCACCACCCUUAGUUCCUGUUCCCAGGGCUAAGGUAAAAACCAUGCCAAAGGAAAGGGCCAGGCUGUGUGUGUGUGUGUGUGUGUGUGCGUGUGUGUGGUGUAUAUGUGUAGUCUGUCUCCUAGCUAGUCUGUGUGUUUUUCUGCCAUAUGUCUCUGCCUGCUGUCUGUAAAAUCUCAUAGGGAGAGGGCCUCAGGGAGCCACCGAAGGGUGCUGAGCCUGGCACCUUUCCUCCCAACAUACCCACUCAGUGCUUUCCUCCCUGCCCCUCCUACACUGGGCUCCAAUGACAUUCUAGGGUCUUAAGACCGAAGGCACA
rnacentral:lncRNA from 1 species